UACCUGGACAGGUGAGGACAGCAGGAGACAGCUGGACCGUCCUCUGAGGACAGAGCUUAAAGAAAACAUCAGAUUCACCUGGUCUGACCUCAGAAUCACCUGUUAGAGUAAACAAGCUGCUGUUAGCUCCGCCCCUCCAUACCUUUAUUAGCUCCUCCCCUCCAUACCUUUGUGUUAGCUCCUCCCCUCCAUACCUUUGUGUUAGCUCCGCCCCUCCAUACCUUUGUUAGCUCCGCCCCUCCAUACCUUUAACCCAAAGUGAAUUUGACGGAACUGAACAUCAGCUGAAAUCUGUUAAACAAGCUAAAACUGACACAACGAUAGCUUAAUGUAGCUAAUAGACUAGCUGAAGAUUUAUUGAAUUAUUGAUCAGGUAUUGGUCAGCGAUUGGUCAGGUAUUGAUCAGCGAUUGGUCAGGUAUGGAUCAGUGAUUGAUCAGGUAUUGAUCAGCAAUUGGUCAGGUAUUGAUCAGGUAUUGAUCAGAUAUUGGUCAGCGAUUGGUUGGGUAUUGAUCAGGUAUUGGUCAGCGAUUGGUCAGGUAUUGAUCAGUGAUUGGUCAGCUAUUGGUCAGGUAUUGGUCAGCUAUUGAUCAGGUAUUGGUCAGGUAUUGGUCAGGUCUUGGUUAGGUAUUGAUCAGGUAUUGGUCAGCUAUUGAUCAGGUAUUGGUCAGCUAUUGAUCAGGUAUUGGUCAGCUAUUGGUUAGGUAUUGAUCAGCGAUUGAUCAGGUAUUGAUCAGCGAUUGGUCAGGUAUUGAUCAGGUAUUGAUCAGCGAUUGGUCAGGUAUUGGUCAGCUAUUGGUUAGGUAUUGAUCAGGUAUUGGUCAGGUAUUGAUCAGCGAUUGAUCAGGUAUUGGUCAGGUAUUGAUCAGGUAUUGAUCAGGUAUUGAUCAGCGAUUGGUCAGGUAUUGAUCAGCGAUUGGUCAGGUAUUGGUCAGCUAUUGGUUAGGUAUUGAUCAGGUAUUGGUCAGGUAUUGAUCAGCGAUUGAUCAGGUAUUGGUCAGGUAUUGAUCAGGUAUUGAUCAGGUAUUGAUCAGGUAUUGAUCAGCGAUUGGUCAGGUAUUGAUCAGGUAUUGAUCAGCGAUUGGUCAGGUAUUGAUCAGGUAUUGAUCAGGUAUUGGUUAGGUAUUGAUCAGGUAUUGGUCAGGUAUUGAUCAGCGAUUGGUCAGGUAUUGAUCAGGUAUUGAUCAGCGAUUGGUCAGGUAUUGAUCAGCGAUUGGUCAGGUAUUGAUCAGGUAUUGGUUAGGUAUUGAUCAGGUAUUGAUCAGCGAUUGGUCAGGUAUUGAUCAGGUAUUGAUCAGGUAUUGGUUAGGUAUUGAUCAGGUAUUGGUCAGGUAUUGAUCAGCGAUUGGUCAGGUAUUGGUUAGGUAUUGAUCAGGUAUUGAUCAGGUAUUGAUCAGCGAUUGGUCAGGUAUUGGUCAGGUAUUGAUCAGGUAUUGGUCAGGUAUUGGUCAGGUAUUGAUCAGGUAUUGUUU